rnacentral:rRNA from 1 species
ACUCCUACGGGAGGCAGCAGUGGGGAAUAUUGGACAAUGGGCGAAAGCCUGAUCCAGCCAUGCCGCGUGUGUGAAGAAGGUCUUCGGAUUGUAAAGCACUUUAAGUUGGGAGGAAGGGCAGUAAGUUAAUACCUUGCUGUUUUGACGUUUACCAACAGAAUAGCAACCGGCAUAACUUCCGGUGCCAGCAGCCGCGGUAAUACGAAGGGUGCAAGCGUUAAUCGGAAUUACUGGGCGUAAAGCGCGCGUAGGUGGUUUCGUUAAGUUGGAUGUGAAAGCCCCGGGCUCAACCUGGGAACUGCAUCCAAAACUGGCGAGCUAGAGUAUGGCAGAGGGUGGUGGAAUUUCCUGUGUAGCGGUGAAAUGCGUAGAUAUAGGAAGGAACACCAGUGGCGAAGGCGACCCACCU